CUACGUAGGGGGCGAGCGUUGUCCGGAAUGAUUGGGCGUAAAGGGCGCGUAGGCGGCCUGUUAAGUCUGGAGUGAAAGUCCUGUUUUCAAGAUGGGAAUUGCUUUGGAUACUGAUGGGCUUGAGUGCAGGAGGGGUUAUCGGAAUUCCCGGUGUAGCGGUGAAAUGCGUAGAGAUCGGGAGGAACACCAGUGGCGAAGGCGGGUAACUGGACUGCAACUGACGCUGAGGCGCGAAAGUGUGGGGAGCAAACAGGAUUAGAUACCCUGGUAGUCCACACUGUAAACGAUGAAUGCUAGGUGUAAGAGGUAUCGACCCCUUUUGCGCCGGAGUUAACACAAUAAGCAUUCCGCCUGGGGAGUACGGCCGCAAGGUUGAAACUCAAAGGAAUUGACGGGG
rnacentral:rRNA from 1 species